rnacentral:lncRNA from 1 species
GCAGUUCUCUGACUUCAGUCCUCCCUGAAACCCACUUGGAAUCUAGCUCUGAAUUCAGCCGGACAUGUUUGUUCUUCCCUUUUCCCAUCCUCACCUACUCCUAACCUUCAGUGUUCUCUUUACCUUUUAUUUUUAUUUUUGUCAUUUUAGUAGUAAAUGACAGGGACAUAGUUACUCAAUUUGUAAAACAUUGAAUGGUGAGGUCAAAGAUUCUAUGACGAGCUUGAGAUUUCUAACAGGUUCAGAUGGAUGACAGCAACAUUUUGCUGGCUUAAUUUUGGAGCUGUUUUUGUAGGUUUUGAAAUGCAGUUUAAUAGUGAGUAAUAGAGAAGUUUCUUUCUGCCGUGGAGCUACUGAACCCUUGAAAGUAACAUGCUGGCACAUACAGAUGAACUGUAGCCCCACAUUUAUUCCUUGCUUAGUGGUAAGCUGUACACUGAACAAUAGAAAACAAAAGGCUAUUUUUCUUUGGAAGAGCAGAUACUGAUUUCUGGACAAAGUUUAUGUUGUACAAGUUAAACAUUUUUUAUUCUUUUCUGGUUAGAUUUUCUGCCUUUUAAAAAAUUAGCUUAGUUGAAAAAGCAGGUAUUAUUAAAUACAGUUUAUUUUAUUGAAUUGGACGGACAAUCGUAGAAUUUUAAAGCUUAAAUGGCUUUAAUUGAACCUAAUGUUCUAAUUUUACAGAGGAAACAUUUGAGGCUUAGUGCGGUUAAAUGACCACUCCUACAACACACAGCCUGUUUGUUUGAUGGCUGAGGCUGAAAACCAGACUCCAGACUCCUAAUUUAAUGCUUUUCCUUCAUUGGUCAUGUCUUUUUAGCUUCAGUGAAGAUCUUUUUUUUUUUUUUUUUUUUAAUUUUUGAGGUUAUUUAAAAAAUACUUUGCCUUGAAAAUUUAACAUUUCCACUUAAUCAUUCUCAUACUUCAAGAACAGUUUCUCUGUUAACUUUCUGUUUAACUUCUUAAACCAUACACUGUGGAAAUUAUCUGUCUAUAUGCUGAACAGUCUUUAAUGACUGCAUGUGUGCCGUAGCUGUUGAGAUGUUUUAAUCCACUUUAGCAAAAGGUUUAUUUGUUUAAGAAAAGUGCAGUGUUGUAUUAAGUCUAAGCUUAGAACAAUGAAGCAUCAUCUCCCAGCUACUGGGAGUGAGAAUGGGAGGGGCAGGGAGUGGUUGGUACUAUGAGCUGCUCUAAAGAAAAUUCAUUUCAGCUUCCUCACAUGUUAAUACAAUCAUAUUUCAGUGAAGCCCUUCUUCAGCAACAGUCACUAAUGAUAGAGUGAUGUGUUUAGACUUGAAGGUUCUUUAGGUGCUGUUUAAAUGAAUAAUGAGUGUAGUUAAUUCACAAUACAGGUGAAAAGUUAACCACAGAGUAGUGGCACUGCUCUUUCUUUCCCCGUCACCUCUGUGCAUGAUCUCUUGCUGCGCCAUUAGAAGGGAUGAUUAGAAUGGGCAAAUAUUCCCUCCCGGUGCUCCUGGCAAUAGGAAAGCACUGUGGCUCUCUCCACCUAGCCAGUGUGGCCUGAGGCAUUCAUAGCCAUGUUCUGAGUGGUGAAGGCUAAGAGAGCCCAGGAGAGCUGUCCAGGGUUAAAUAAGACAUUAAUAUAUAAAGUAAGGACUGUCGGUAUACGUGAUAUUUAUAUGUUAUCAUAUUACAUUUUAUUUAUUUAUUUAUUCAUUUAUUUAUUUGUAUAUAUAGAGAGAGAAACAGAGUCUCACUCUGUUGCCCAGGCCAGAGGGUAGUGGUGCCAUCAUAGCUCACUGUAGUGUCGAACUCCUGGGCUCCAGUGAUCCUCCCGCCUCAGCCUGCUGAGUAGCUAGGACUACAGACUUGUGCGACCACACUUAUUUUUUGUUUUUAAUUUAUUUUUUGUAAAGACAGGGUCUCAUUCCAUUGCCCAGGCUGCAUUUUUAAGUUUAGUAACUGCCCAAAUGGACAUUGGGUAAAAUAAAAAUAAAUACAGUCACUUCUCUUCUUAAAUCAUUCACCUCUCAAGAUGAAGAAAGAUUGUCACCAAUUUUCAAAGAAUUUGAGUAUAAUUAAAUACACUUCAUAAUAAACUAGGCUGAACAUAAUUUAAUCUUUCCCUGAAGAAAACUGUAAUACUGCAUAUGCAUUUUCAAACUAUGCAUAUUUCUUCUUCAUUCCAUGUGGAAGUUUUUAUUCAGCCUUUCAGUAAAUUUUACUUAGCUUGUCCCAUGGAUGCCGCUACCCAAUCAGAGCAAAAACAGUAUUUUAAAAAACCUCAACUGGAUGAGCCUGAUGCAGUGGUGUGCUCAUGCAGUCCCAGCCAAAGGGUCACUUGAGCAGAGGAGUUCAAGGCCAACUUGGGCAACAUAGUGAGACCCCGUCUCUAAGACAAAUAAUAAACAUCAAAAUUAAAAUUAAAAAAAACCCAACCCAGUGUUCCCUUCAGAAUCCUGAGUGGUUUGUUUCAUCUUCCUCUAUUCUGGCUUGUGUCAUCUUCCUCUCUUGUAAUGGAUAAAAACUCCAAAUGAAGACAAAAAUGAGGAAUUUGUCAAAAAAAUUGAAUUGCCAACAAAAGCCAUCUUUGGUUGAUCAAACGGUACAGACGUUUCAGUUAGACAAGAGGGCUAAGUUUCUGAGACCCAUUGUACAGGAUUAUUAAUAUUAUUCAUUUUUAG